UAAAAUUUUGGCGGUAUUUUAAGCUUGUUAGAGGAAUUUGCUCUAUAAUGGAUACAACGCCUAUAUCUUACUUAAUUUUGUAAUUAAAGUCAGUUUGUAUACCACUAUAUUUAAUUAUAUUGAAUAAUUAUAUUUAAGAUUUUUAUAUAAAUAUAUAUUAAGUCAAGGUGCAACAAAUAAUUAUGAGUGAAGUGAAUUACAUUAAUUUUAAUGAUAUUUUGAUAGUGAAAAAAAAUUUAGGAUUUAAUAGUAAAAUAUUAAUAUAAUGAAUAUUUGAAUUAAGCUCUAAAAUAUGCAC
rnacentral:rRNA from 1 species